rnacentral:rRNA from 1 species
CUUUAGUUUGAAACCCCGAAACCAGGUGAGCUACCCCGAGACAGCCUAAGUAAUUUAGGGCUAACCCGUCUCUGUGGCAAAAGAGUGGGAAGAGCUCCGGGUAGAAGUGACAGACCUACCGAACCUGGUGAUAGCUGGUUGCCUGAGAAAUGGAUAGAAGUUCAGCCCCGUAUGCCCCGUACCAAAAACAUCAUUUUAAGAUUUAGGGAAACUUAUGGGAGUUAGUUAAAGGGGGUACAGCCCCUCUAACAAAGGAUACAACCUUUACAGGAGGAUAAAGAUCAUAAUAUUUAAAACACACUGUUCUAGUGGGCCUAAAAGCAGCCACCUAAACAGAAAGCGUUAAAGCUCAGACAGAAAGAAGUUUAUUAUAAUGAUAAAAAAUCUUAUUCCCCUAAUAGUAUCAGGCUAUUCCAUGCUCACAUGGAAGAGAUUAUGCUAAAAUGAGUAACAAGAAGACUUGAUCUUCUCCAAGCACAAGUGUACACCAGAUCGGACCAACCACUGGAAAUUAACGAACCCAAACAAAGAGAGUAUUGUGAAUUAUAUAAAAACCAGGAAGACCCCACAAUUAAAUAAUCGUUAACCCCACACUGGAGUGCUAUAAAUUAAGGAAAGACUAAAAGAAAGGGAAGGAACUCGGCAAACAUAAGCCUCGCCUGUUUACCAAAAACAUCGCCUCCUGCAAACAAAUUAAGUAUAGGAGGUCCAGCCUGCCCAGUGACUACGGGUUCAACGGCCGCGGUAUUUUGACCGUGCAAAGGUAGCGCAAUCACUUGUCUUUUAAAUAGAGACCUGUAUGAAUGGCUAAACGAGGGCUUAACUGUCUCCCCCUUCCAGUCAGUGAAAUUGAUCUAUCCGUGCAGAAGCGGGUAUAAUUAUACAAGACGAGAAGACCCUUUGGAGCUUAAGGUACAAAAUUCAACCACGUUAAACAACUAAACAAAGAGGGGGAACUUAGUGGGACCUGAAAUUUUACCUUCGGUUGGGGCGACCGCGGAGGAAAAAUCAGCCUCCGAGUGGAAUGGGCCAAAACCCUAAAACCAAGAGAAACAUCUCUAAGCCGCAGAACAUCUGACCAUUAAUGAUCCGGCCAAACAGCCGAUCAACGAACCAAGUUACCCUAGGGAUAACAGCGCAAUCCUCUCCCAGAGUCCAUAUCGACGAGGGGGUUUACGACCUCGAUGUUGGAUCAGGACAUCCUAAUGGUGCAGCCG